CCUACGGGCGGCAGCAGUGGGGAAUAUUGCACAAUGGGCGCAAGCCUGAUGCAGCCAUGCCGCGUGUGUGAAGAAGGCCUUCGGGUUGUAAAGCACUUUCAGCGGGGAGGAAGGCGUUAAGGUUAAUAACCUUGUCGAUUGACGUUACCCGCAGAAGAAGCACCGGCUAACUCCGUGCCAGCAGCCGCGGUAAUACGGAGGGUGCAAGCGUUAAUCGGAAUUACUGGGCGUAAAGCGCACGCAGGCGGUCUGUCAAGUCGGAUGUGAAAUCCCCGGGCUCAACCUGGGAACUGCAUUCGAAACUGGCAGGCUAGAGUCUUGUAGAGGGGGGUAGAAUUCCAGGUGUAGCGGUGAAAUGCGUAGAGAUCUGGAGGAAUACCGGUGGCGGAGGCGGCCCCCUGGACAAAGACUGACGCUCAGGUGCGAAAGCGUGGGGAGCAAACAGGAUUAGAUACCCGAGUAGUC
rnacentral:rRNA from 1 species